UGGGGAAUAUUGCACAAUGGGGGGAACCCGUGAUGCAGCGACGCCGCGUGAGUGAAGAAGUAUUUCGGUAUGUAAAGCUCUAUCAGCAGGGAAGAAAAUGACGGUACCUGACUAAGAAGCCCCGGCUAACUACGUGCC
rnacentral:rRNA from 1 species